UAUGCGGAUGGAAGGACACAAUUCAUUAAUCUCUGCCAUCUAUAUAUUAUAAUUACUAAAAAUAUAUUCAUUUAUUACAAAAUUAUGUAUUACAAAAUAUUUCUUCAAAUAUAUUUACUAGUGUGAACCCCCCUUACGAAAUCAAAGCAUUGCAAUCACCAAAGAUUAAUCUAUCUCAUUCGAAUCAACUCCGAUUGUGGUUACUGGUUAUUAUUGUACCCGACUAGUUGUUAUUGUUGAUAAAUGUGAUAAUUCCUUUUCUAUAGUUUCUACUUCUUAAUUCUUCUUAUUUUUCUUGUGGUUUUUUACUAUUCCUUGUAAUUCUUAAAUUUUUAUUAUUUUUAGUGCAAUAAUAAUAAUAAGCAAUAAUUAUAGCUUAAUUUUCCCAUAAUUUUAAGAUUUUAAUAUUUAAGUGCAAUAAAUAAUAGUUUUUAUAGGUUUUACUUCAUUAAUUUUUUCUUUGUUGCAUUUGUGUUUCAAAGUCGCCCACUAGAAUCCAUAGUUCGGAUGCAAUGUGCCUCGGUGGUGGAGGAUCAGCGUAAAUAGCAGACUUCAAACCAGCCAAUCGUCUACGCAAUCUCACGAUCUUACUACCUCUUCUAAGCUUUGGCUUCUCUGUUGAUGGAUAUGUCAUCCUUCUUCCUUUGCUGUCUAGCCAAAUAUUCUUUUAUGGACAGACGGGAUGGACCAGGAGUUGUCGCUGGAAUCUCGGCUUCCACUGGUAAUCUUUCCAAGUCUGGCAGGAUCGCCAUGUGAUGCCCACUACUCUGGGAAGUUAUUUUUAGGCCUGCCUAAUAUUUUAGCCUGCGCUUAAAAACGCCCCUGGCUGCAAAAAUUGAGUUUUUUGUAUUUUUGCCGGCACAAAAUAAUGUCAGCGGCAAAAUAUUUAUGAAGUACUUUAUUUAGCGUUAAAGAAAAACAAGUAAAAAAACUGUAAGUUCGGCCGGGCCGAACUUUUAAUACCCUCCACCAUUUGGUACAAAUUUGGCAAUUUUCAAAAAAAAAAAUCUGUUAAAAUCUUAAAAAUGCCGAAUGGCUAUACGACGACGUGGACCUGCAUAGUCAAAUUUUGUCAUAAGUUAUUACAAUAUUUAAAUGCGAAACUUGAAGAAAAAUCUGUUUAAAAUAUAGCUAAAAUCAUCAAAAUGCUGAAUAUAGGGGGUACCGUUAUAUGGGGGCCAUACGAUGACGUGGACCUGCACAGACAAUUUUCUGGGAUGGGCUGAAGUAUCCAUUACGAACUUCACAUGCGAAAUUUAAAACAAUCCCGGUAAAUAAUGCCGCUAAAAUCAUCAAAAUACCGAAUAUCGGGGGGUACGGUAUAUGGUGGCUAUACGAAGGCGGGGACCUACAUGGCCCAUUUUCUGUUUUAUGCUGCAGUAUGUAUUACGAACUUCAAGCACCAAAUUUGGAACGAUUCCGUUAAAUAAUGUCGCUAAAAUUAUCAAAAUACCGAAUAUCGGGGGGUACCGUUAUAUGGGGGCUAUACCAAGACGUGGACCUACAUGGCCCAUUUUCUUUCUUAUGCUGCAGUAUGUAUUACGAACUUCAAACACCAAAUUUGGAACGAUUCCUUUAAAUAAUGUCGCUAAAAUCAUCAAAAUACCGAAUAUCGGGGGGUACCGUUAUAUGGGGGCUAUACGAAGACGUGAACCUACAUGGCCCAUUUUCUUUUUUAUGCUGCAGUAUGUAUUACGAACUUCAAACACCAAAUUUGGAACGAUUCCUUUAAAUAAUGUCGCUAAAAUCAUCAAAAUACCGAAUAACGGGAGGUACCGUUAUAUGGGGGCUACAUGAAAACGUGAACCUAUACAUAUAAUGUUA